ACGCUGGCGGCAGGCCUAACACAUGCAAGUCGAGCGGUAGAGAGAAGCUUGCUUCUCUUGAGAGCGGCGGACGGGUGAGUAAUGCCUAGGAAUCUGCCUGGUAGUGGGGGAUAACGUUCGGAAACGGACGCUAAUACCGCAUACGUCCUACGGGAGAAAGCAGGGGACCUUCGGGCCUUGCGCUAUCAGAUGAGCCUAGGUCGGAUUAGCUAGUUGGUGGGGUAAUGGCUCACCAAGGCGACGAUCCGUAACUGGUCUGAGAGGAUGAUCAGUCACACUGGAACUGAGACACGGUCCAGACUCCUACGGGAGGUAGCAGUGGGGAAUAUUGGACAAUGGGCGAAAGCCUGAUCCAGCCAUGCCGCGUGUGUGAAGAAGGUCUUCGGAUUGUAAAGCACUUUAAGUUGGGAGGAAGGGCAGUUGCCUAAUACGUAACUGUUUUGACGUUACCGACAGAAUAAGCACCGGCUAACUCUGUGCCAGCAGCCGCGGUAAUACAGAGGGUGCAAGCGUUAAUCGGAAUUACUGGGCGUAAAGUGCGCGUAGGUGGUUAGUUAAGUUGGAUGUGAAAUCCCCGGGCUCAACCUGGGAACUGCAUUCAAAACUGACUGACUAGAGUAUGGUAGAGGGGUGGUGGAAUUUCCUGUGUAGCGGUGAAAUGCGUAGAUAUAGGAAGGAACACCAGUGGCGAAGGCUACCACCUGGACUGAUACUGACACUGAGGUGCGAAAGCGUGGGGAGCAAAC
rnacentral:rRNA from 1 species